rnacentral:rRNA from 1 species
UACGUAGGUGACUAGCGUUGUCCGGAUUUACUGGGCGUAAAGAGCGCGCAGGCGGUCGUUCAAGUCGAGUGUGAAAGCCCCCGGCUCAACUGGGGAGGGUCACUUGAUACUGAUCGACUCGAAGGCAGGAGAGGGAAGCGGAAUUCCCGGUGUAGUGGUGAAAUGCGUAGAUAUCGUAAGGAACGCCAGUGGCGAAAGCGAGUCUCUGGGCAGCAUCUGACGCUGAGGCACGAAGGCCAGGGGAGCAAACGGG